GGGCCCGCACAAGCGGUGGAGUAUGUGGUUUAAUUCGAUGCAACGCGAAGAACCUUACCAGGGUUUGACAUCCUGCGAAUCUCUUGGAAACAGGAGAGUGCCUUCGGGAACGCAGUGACAGGUGGUGCAUGGCUGUCGUCAGCUCGUGUCGUGAGAUGUUCGGUUAAGUCCGGCAACGAGCGCAACCCACAUCCCUAGUUGCCAGCAGUUCGGCUGGGCACUCUAUGGAAACUGCCCGUGAUAAGCGGGAGGAAGGUGUGGAUGACGUCAAGUCCUCAUGGCCCUUACGGGUUGGGCUACACACGUGCUACAAUGGUAGUGACAAUGGGUUAAUCCCAAAAAGCUAUCUCAGUUCGGAUUGUCGUCUGCAACUCGACGGCAUGAAGUCGGAAUCGCUAGUAAUCGCGUAAC
rnacentral:rRNA from 1 species